ensembl:snoRNA SNORD31 Small nucleolar RNA SNORD31
UUGGCUCCAAUGAUGAGAUUGUUACCGCCCCAGUCUGAUUUCUGUGACUGAGUGGUUCCUUCUGAGCCUAG